CCCUGCCCCGUCCCUCACUCCCCCAGCCCUUGCCUGUGGCUCUGCAGCAGCUCGUGGGAGCCCGAACACGGGGACAGUGCAGCCCUGGCCGCAGCAGCACAACACAGCAACCCUAAGAGCGAGAGCAGACCUGAACCUCCUGCUGGGACAGGGCAGCAACCCUCACAGCAGGACAAGGACAGAACCUGCAGAGGACAACAAGACCCACUGCAAAAAGGAAGGGAAGACAUCUGAAGAACAGAUGGUGACUCUGUGCCAGUGCAUCUGCCAGACUCUGCUGUGACAUGAGCCCCACUGGAGGUGUUAUGGACACAGUGUGCUCUGGCUCCCUUCUGCUCGGAACACCCUGAACCUUCGCAGCAGAUGAGGAAGACAGGGACUCAAAGAUUCUUCUUCCCUAAUGGACCCCAAGAAGAAAAGCACAGAGCUGGUAUGAGGGCUGGCUGCCCAGAAGGUAGCCCUGGCUUUGGGAAGUAAGAUCAUGGGGUUGUGUCAGUAGGGUUGGCUCACAGAGAUGGCUCUGGCUUAGCAAAGCCCGAUGCAGUGAAGCCCUGCUUCCCUUCUGGUAAGGAGCAAGAAUAGCUGGGGGAGGGUGAUGGGCCAGAGUGGGAGCUAGAGUGUUCUGAAAGCUUUGCUGGGCGUUGGCAAAUGCUCUGGGACUUUGAGGGCCUAAGUAUAUUAAUCUAUUUAAAUAUCUUUUGCCCAGUAUCCUAAGCAGUGGCUGGGCAGUCUCUGAGUCUGUGAACACUAAUCAAACCCAAAAAUGAAUCUUCAUCUCAUUAUCUUUUUAUUGGUUGGUUUUUUAGUUGAACUAAUUAAAGGCAAGACCUGAGUUAACAUCUCAGGUUUUUUCAGGUUAAAAUCUGUUUUUUUCAGGUUAGCUGUAGUUUAAAUUAAUGCCAGGGUUUGAUACUGCUUAUAAUAGCAGUGAAGCAAUUGUAUUUUAUGGUAAAUAUAAAUCUCCUUAUUUUACAGAAGUUAAUGUAAUAAUAAUAGUUUUAAGGCUCUCUUAUUACCAGCUGUAAGUCUAAUUUUCUAACAAGAUGCUGCUAAUUGCAUUACUCUGGCUUCAGCAGUUUUCUUUGUGUCAGAGCCCCUUAGAGAGGCAGUAGAUUCUCAGCCAGACUCUUGUUUUGGUCCUGUAAAAUGUAGUUGUGUUGUAACAGUGCCUUCUUCUUAAUAAUUUUUAUCUGCUUUAUUAAUUUAUUGUGGUCGAGGUUUUGCUACAUCAAUUGCUUUUGCAUUGCUGACAGUCUAACUGCAUGUAGUUCAAACAGAUCAGUAUCCACAAACUCAAAUUAUUGUAAUUACAUUGGUCUCAUUUCAGUGAGUACAGCAUUUACCACCUCACCAGCCUGUAGAACUUUGAUUGUAUUAGAAUUCUCAAAACAUUACAUGACUUGAAAAUUAAUUUGGAAAUCUAUCCCCAAGAGUCUCUUUCAUACUCUGCUUCUGUGAAAAAUAAAUGGAAAAGGGCAGCAUUGGUGUUCAGGGGCCCGUGGCCCUCAGAUGCUGCCUGGAGUGAGUGCACUGCCCUCAUUGCACAACAAGCUCCGAUGGGAAAUCCAGAUCUCCCUGGCUCUUGGAAAUCAUCACGAACUGACCUGAAGGUGGCACUUUUGGACUGUGCUUGGAAGUGGAAGAAGAGCAGCUGAGACCUGCUGAGGAGGAAUCCUGCUUUUGGCAUCAGGCCCCUGACUGUGAAGAAGGGUCUGCCAGCUGCUGGCUCUCUCUCUCUCUCUCGAUUUUGGAGGAGGAUGGUUGGAGCUGCUGCCUGGGGAAGGGAAUUCACUGCCAUGGCCAUAGCCCAGCCCAGAGCUGCUUCUUCUGCUUCUCCCUCAGUUCAUCAAUCAGCCAGGCCUUGCCACUGCACACUCAGCUGCAGAUCCUCAUAUGUGGCAUUGGCCCAGCUGUGACCCAGAGUCAGCUGGAUUUUACCCCAAAAGAGCCAGGCAUUGGAUUCAAGCCCUGGGAAUGAUUUGUUUAAUUCAGGGCCAGCCUGAGAGCUCCCCCAAAAGCCUUUGGUGUAUUUAUGUGAAGUUGCCCAAGUUCUGCUCCCCUAGUGCUUGCUUGUUUCCCCCCUAUGGUUACAGUUCUAGAAUGUUCCACCCCUGAGUGUGUAUAUUGUUGUUUCCCCUUUGUUUGGGGUCUUUGGAUCCUGCCCCUCCUAUUAUGCAGGCUUCUCCACGUUUGUUGUUUCUCACCCUUUAAUAAAGUUCUUUCUGGGCAGCUCCAUCAAAGCCACUCCUUUUCAUUUUCACCACCCUCGCCUGAGGUCAGGGAACCAGAGAGGUUUGUCACAGCCACCCUCACUGUGACACUUACAGAAAAGCCUUUAAAAAUAUUCACACACCUUAAACGCAAGUCUGUCAAUAACAGCAGCUGUGAGAUCCCAAACACAGCAAACUGCUGGAGUGCUCCUGGGAGAAUACCUGGGGCAGUGUCUGAUUCCCUCAGAGCAGGAGCAGCCCUGCCCUCAGCAGCUCACAGCCCUGCCCCACAAGGAUGUGUCACAGAAGGGUUGGUAAAGACCACAGGAGCCUCAGCUCAGGUGAGGCUUUCCACAGAGCCCAGAGAUCUUAUCCUGGAACUCUGAAAGCACAGGAGAAUCAGGAGCCAGCCCUGGCUCAAGGCACAGCAACCCUGCUGAAACAAGAGAAGGGAGCAAAGGCUGAGGAGGCAGUGCAGGAACGGCUGCAGAGCCUGUUCAAAGAGAGGCAUCUGCAGCUGCAGA